rnacentral:rRNA from 1 species
UUUUAUUUGAGAGUUUGAUCCUGGCUCAGGAUGAACGCUGGCGGCGUGCCUAACACAUGCAAGUUGAGCGAUUUACUUCGGUAAAGAGCGGCGGACGGGUGAGUAACGCGUGGGUAACCUACCCUGUACACACGGAUAACAUACCGAAAGGUAUGCUAAUACGGGAUAAUAUAUUUGAGAGGCAUCUCUUAAAUAUCAAAGGUGAGCCAGUACAGGAUGGACCCGCGUCUGAUUAGCUAGUUGGUAAGGUAACGGCUUACCAAGGCGACGAUCAGUAGCCGACCUGAGAGGGUGAUCGGCCACAUUGGAACUGAGACACGGUCCAAACUCC